rnacentral:rRNA from 1 species
UACGUAGGUGGCAAGCGUUGUCCGGAAUUAUUGGGCGUAAAGCGCGUGUAGGCGGCUUGUUAAGUCGGGUGUGAAAGCCCUCAGCUCAACUGAGGAAGGGCGCCCGAAACUGGCGAGCUUGAGUGUCGGAGAGGAUGGCGGAAUACCCCAAGUAGAGGUGAAAUUCGUAGAUGUGGGGUGGAACACCGGUGGCGAAGGCGGCCAUCUGGACGACAACUGACGCUGAGACGCGAAAGCGUGGGGAGCAAACAGG